GCCUCGGUAGCGCAGUAGGCUGCGCGUCAGUCUCAUAAUCUGAAGGUCGUGAGUUCGAUCCUCACCCGGGGCA
rnacentral:tRNA from 1 species